GAAAUUCCUAUACAAAUUAACAAAUUUUCUGCUAAUGUUGCUUUAAGCAGCAGCCUCUGGAAUGGCUCUAGGGCAGAACUGGUUGGUAUCUGAAGUGACAGCACAAAACUCUUCCCACAAUCCUGCUUUCCUGCCCUUUGCAGCAUUUCCCUGAUGGCGGUAAAGGUGCUUGUGCCGUGUCCCUUUCCAGGCAGGAAGGAGCCAGACCAGCCGUGUUCCCGUGCAGUGCCAGCGCUGUCCCGCCGGCAGAGGGGCGUUUCCUGCAGGUGAGCGCUCCCAGCCCGGAGUCCCGCUGGGGCUGAGCCCGGGGCUGCUCGGAGCCCUGGGGACUCCUGCUCCCUGCCAGGAACGGUCCCGGUGCUCCCUCGGUGUGUCCCAGCGGGAACGCGGGGCGGGAGGAGGAGCCCCGGGCGGGGCCCGGCCCCUCUCUCCUCGGUGGCACCGGGAGGAGCUGUGCCCCAGGCUCUGCCCGCGGCGGGCAGCGUGCCAGGCGCGUCCCGGGACGGGCGCCGGGAUGCCCGGGCAGCGCCGGGAUGGACACGGAUCCAGGGCUGCCCGCGGCUCUCGGCCAGGGGCUGCUCUGAACGGGCCCCGGAGAUGCUGCAGCCCGGGCAGAGCCCGCUGACAUCCCAAAACCACCCGAGGAACGGCUGGCAGGGCCGGGAGCGCCGGCACGUGGGGGCUGCAGAGGAGCUCCGACAGCAAUUCCCGGUGCCCGCCCCCUGGAGCUGCCACACGGCCACCAGAAAUUCCAUCCCGAGCAGUGCCCUCGAGAUGCCUUAAAAUGCAAGGUUGGCGUUAGGUGAAGUUUUGUUUGGAUGAAGUUUGGAGUUUUCCAGGGAGCCAGCUGGAGCUGCAGAACGGAUGGGAAGCUCCCACAGUGAGAAGAACAUGAACUCACAACCACCAAGGCCUGGCAGUUCCCUGCAGCGAGAGCUCAGUGCACAUCCAGGAGGCAAUUCCAGCAUCUGAAAGGAAGAGAGCAAGAAGAAAAGGGUGAUUUCUUUUGUUUCAAAGCUAUUUCAAGUUCUCAGACCCAAACCAACCUUUGCCCUUGAUUUUAGCCGGGUGAAUCCUGAGCAGUGGGCACAGGUCCUGUCACUCAUGCUGAGGGGAGUGAUGCUUUCUGGGGAAAUGAGCUGAUUUCCAAAGUUCACUGCCUGCCCCCUGCCUGGUUUGCACAGGAGAAAACCUCACCCAUGAAGGGAUUUUGCUCCAUCCAAUCCCAUCUGCCCAGGCUGUUCCUGAGGAUGGUGCCAGGCUGGGGCAGCACAGGCAGAUGCAGCUCUCAGCUCUCUGCUCCAAACACAGCUCUGGGCUCCCCUGCAAACUCCUCUGCCAUGAGGUUUUCUCCAGCAGAAAUCAAGGAAUGGCUCACAGCAGCUGGAGGUUAUCACAGAGGGAAGUAAAGGAUAAAUAUUCCUGUAAGAGCCUUUGGGAGCUGCUGGGCUGAAUGGGGAAGGGGACAUUCACUCCCUGCAGGGCAAAUGCACAACAGCCUCCAACACAAAGCCAGACUGCCAGGAGGGGUCUGAAAGCACCACUUGGACAAACCCCACUGUCAUUCUUCCUUCCAGGGACUUCUGCAAUCAAAGCCUGAAGCUGAGGAGCCCAAAAGCUCUGGAGUCUGCUCUGGAACAAAAGGAUACUCCAGGGGUGAGGCCCAUUCCCAGCAAACACUCCCAGCACAGCAGAGGCACCACUGGAGCUCGGGCUGGGGCUGGGAAGGGCUGCAGGAGGACACAGCCCCCAGGGGGUGGCAGUGGCAGUGACACAGCAAAUUCCCACAGUCUGAUGGCAGCACAGGGAGACCAAGGCCAGCAAUGGCCACGGGAGCUGCAGGUUUGAUUCUGCUCCCUGCGCUGCCCCAUCCCAGCAGGAAAUCCCCAGGGAGACAGAAACUCCCAGGGUGCACAAAAUGCAGCAUCUGUGCCCUGCUCCUGCUGCACCUCAGCGUGGGGGGCCAGCCCCAGGGCAAACACUGAGCUGCCCUGGAGCAGCCCCAGACACUGCCCCAGCUCUCAGCUCCCCCUGCCCCGGGGCUGCCCCACAUUCCUGACAAGGAGCCCCAGGCCCUUGGGACAGGGCUCUCUCUGUCUCAGGUGCUGGGGGCUGCAGGGACCAGGGCAAGGACAGCCUGAGCCCAGGGCAGAUCCCUCUGGGUUUGUGACACUCUGGGCACAGCUGGGGACUCACCUCACACCCUGGGCAGGACCAGGGGCCCUCCAGUGCAGCUGGAGCCCGUUGGGUUUGGCUGCUCAAACACCAAAGCUGGGCAAAGGUGGGAUGAGUUAAGUGGUUUUUCCUGUCCUGAAAGAGAGGAGAAAAUGGAAAUCAGGUCCACUCUGGAAGUCAAAGGCCCCUGGCUUUCCUACUUCUGUUCU